GGCGCCCACUCCCGGGACAGUAGGAAGAAAGGGGAAGGGCACCAACGUGCAAGGGGCAGGCAUCCAAACUUCAGGAGGAAAGCUUGGUUUCCCCCGGCUCGGCUUGGUCCUCCUCCUCUUUCCGCUGCCUGGGAAACCGCCCUCGGGUGCUCUCUGGCCUCUGGGACAGACAGGAAAGAAAACUCCUAAGCAGGGGAGGAUCUUAUUCCCUGACUCGCUUUUGGUUGCAAAGCCAGUCACCUGACCUCAGAGAUCUUUGCAAGGGUUUACGAACUGCAUCUUGUUGUUUUUCCAAAGCAGGGGUCUGUGGUCUGUGGUCCGGAUGGACACCGACUGACUGAACCGGCGCCUCGCGAUGGGCAUGGAAGCCGCUUCCGCCCCCAAGCCCAUCAGAGGGCCGUGGUCAACGCCCUCCCCCCGCCCCGUUUCCUCAACAGCCCCUCCAAAUCUCCAUCGCCUGCCUCAAGCGGGAUCGUCCUCAUACCGUUCGGGACCCGAAGAGAUCAGAGGCCAGCUAGUCAAGAACUCUCCGUUUCCCGCACCCCCCCACCCCCGUUUGAACGUCCCUCUAUUUCUCUCCACCCACCCCUCCCCUUUCCCUUUGGUUUUCCAGGAAGAGGGAUUCAGCUUGGCAGUUCCAGGGGCCCGGCUCCACGUGGGGUGCCCUGGGAACCAUCUGCUCAGCCUCCCCCAAAGAUCUCGUUCCCUCAGUUUGCCAGCUGCUUUCUCUUCGGCCCGUCUCUUUCCUUAAGCCGCUGAGCACACCCAAGUCUCUCCCGGCAUCCACACCUCUCCUUUCUGCUCCUCCACCACCGCCUUCUCUCUCUACCUUUCACGGCUAAGCUGCUGCCAAAAGACCUCGACUCCUCUCCUCGUCAGCCAUCCAGUCAUCGCCUCGUCUCUCACCGGCUCCUCGAAAGACUCCCCAAAUCUCGUCGCCGUCCCGUCCUGGCAAGAGGCCAGGGCACGCCCUUCGGUUCCUUCGUCUUCCUAAACUCCCUGUGGUGUCUGAGGAAUGCUGCCCACGUCUUCAGUCUCUGCAAGUUCUCUCCACCCUCUUUCUCUGGGGGAUGGCCCCCUCCCCAGGCACGGUCUUCAGGGAACAGGAACCCCUCGGGUCUCAGAGCAAGCUCAUGCGCUCUCCUACGAUUCGACUCGCCCCCCGGAUGCCCAGGGCUUCGGAGUGCGUACGACUGACGUCACCCUGCCCCUGACUCCACGCUGCUUUCUCUAACUGUCUGCUGGACGCACCUCUCAGGAUGUCCGAAGGCUUCUCAAAACCGACGCGUCCAAAAGGGAGCCCGAACAACAGGAAGACGGCAGAUCAGAGAGCAGCUUGAUGGCAGCCCCCCCCCCCGGCCCCCCGCCCGAGCGGACAUCGUGCAGAGGCUUGGACCAGCUGAAAUGACGGAUCGCCCACUUUCCGCGUCACGGACAGAGAUCCUCGGCGUGCAACACGUCGAACCCCACUGACUUCGCACUUGUGACCCACGAAGAAAUACCAGUGACAGUCGCACCUGAGCAGAGGACUCUUCAAGCUUCACCCCCAGCGCUCUCCUGGUCCCACCCCUACCCCGAACCCCAGAUAAACGCCCCAACGUUUUGUUUUCCCUUUGAGGAGGCGGGUUUGAGUUUUACUCCCACCUCCUUGUCUGGCC
ensembl:lncRNA